UGAUAGAGGAGGAGAGAGAAAGAGAGGAUUUGCGACGUUGCCGGCAUGCAGCCAGUGACGGCAAGCCGCUGCCGCGUAAUCGUAGUCGUAUUCGUAUUCCUAGAGCAAACACGAGGCCGCAGGAUCUCCGGCGGGCCGACGGCCAAUGAAGUGGGGUGGGGCGCGCGCGCACGAACGCGCGCGCGACCAACUCGAGUGCUGGGUCGUGACUAGGAGGAGGAUGAGAUGAGAAGGGUAAAAGAGAGAGAAACGAGAGAGGAAUGGAAAGAGGAAAGAGACUCGGGAAGAUCGACGAGGAAGAGAGAGGCGGGCAAGACGGAAGGCGGCAACGGGUGGCACACGCAUCGCGAGCGUGGCUGUGGCUGCCUCUUCUCUUUUCGCGUCUAUGUGUGUACAAGGAGGUAUAGGUUAUGUGGUUUGUGCGUGUGAGCGUCGGUACGUUACACCUGCGGGCGCGGCACGGUGGAUCGUGUGGGCGCGGUGGUGUCAUCUCUCGGCGAUCUGCAGAGUGACCUACCCACCCCCACCGACAAGUUCCGUUCCGUUCCGUUCUUCUUCGGAGGCACGUAAAGCCUAAACGAACCUCCACACAGCACACUACAUUCUCCCUCUAUCUCUUUUUCUCUUUCUUUCUUUCCCUCCUCAGCCCUCUGGAACUUUGCUAUCGGCGUACCGCCAACUUCCCCUUUCGUGCCUCAACACCCCACUAUUUCUACCGCUCGACUCGGCUUCACCGAAUGUCCACUUCGUUUCGUACCGAAUGAGCGAGAAAAAGAGAAAAGGAGGGAGAGAGAAAGAGUGAGUAGCACGGUGGGGGCGGGAAAGGAGAAAUCGCGGCAGGGAGGGCACGAAAGAAGGCAGAGGGCGAGGACAGAGAUACUGCCCCACAACGCUCUCUUGCUUUCCUGCCUCUUCGUUCACGGUCACACCCGCAGCGGUGCUCAUCCUUCAUAAGAACGCGCGCGCAGCAGCGCGCACACGAGCGUCGUCGCACGCACGCACGCCAUGACGUACGCAUGCGCCGAUAGCACUGCACUCUGGAGUAGGAGUUGGAGGAGAAGUAAAAGGAAAAGGGGAAGGGGUCUGAGGGAUAGACGGAAUAGUGGUAGGGAUGAAAACAGGUUGACUCAGUCGCGCGCGCGCGCACGCGUGAGAGAGGCAUCGUGCUGACCAUGCUGAAGAGUGGGAGGCAAUAGUACUCUGUUAAGUUCUUAUGGUGGGAGAAAAUUACAGCGCAA
rnacentral:lncRNA from 1 species